rnacentral:rRNA from 1 species
UAAGCCAUGCAUGUCUAAGUUCACACUGUUUCACGGUGAAACCGCGAAUGGCUCAUUAAAUCAGUCGAGGUUCCUUAGAUGACACAAUCCUACUUGGAUAACUGUGGCAAUUCUAGAGCUAAUACAUGCUUCCCAAGCUCCGGACCGUCAAGGGACGAGCGCUUUUAUUAGUUCAAAACCAAUCGUCCGUGGCGUUGCUCGCAAGGCGGGGCGCUCGGGCCGUCCCCACUGGUGACUCUGGAUAACUUUGAGCUGAUCGCAUGGCCUUUUUGCGCCGGCGAUAUAUCUUUCAAAUGUCUGCCCUAUCAAAUGUCGAUGGUACGUGACAUGCCUACCAUGUUGAUAACGGGUAACGGGGAAUCAGG